GUCCUCAUUUCUUCACUUUUAGAAGAAAUAAAGCAAUAAAAUGAAAAGAUAACCUGGAGAAAAGAAAGGGACGCUUAGUGUAUUUUAUCUUUUAUAAAAGUUGAGACAAAUUCAAUGCCAGUAAAAUUUCAGGGGGCUGUAUGAAGCCUAGCCUAGAGCGACCUACAGCAGGCAGCUCUGGAUAGCAGGAGGAGCUGCACACUGGUGCCUUGAAUUUAUACUCUGCAGCAGCUCUGACGCAUACGGUAGGUAGGUAGGUGGUCUGAGUGUGACUCCUGCAGCUUUUCUGGAUGCCAUCCAUAUCUGCGCUGCUGUUUGCUCCCAACUGCAUUUGACCUAGCACACUUUGUGCUUUUCAAUCUUGGCUGUAGAAAAGAGCAGAGAAAAGUAGAUGCAUAUAUUAAUAGGGGGUUGUAACACAAUAAAAGCCAAGUGGCAGAUGUCAGGAAAAGUCCAUUACCAUCACUCUUGUCUAUUGCUAAAGGACAGUUCUACCUCUGCUAAAAGUGCAUUUCUACCUGAGCAGGAAACAAGGCUGGAAAAGCCUAAUACUGAGAAACAAAAUUAACUCUCUGAAGAACAGAACCAGGUACAUGCAGACACUCAUGUGGAUUCUCUCACCUCCUUUCCCCCACAUCCCCCACCUGACUGCGUGUUGCUUUGGCCUCUCUCCAGCUGCAGCAGAAGGGAGAAGAAACAAAGGACUCCCAAGUGGGUCUGGAUUGCCUGUGGGGUCCGAGGCCCUGUGACCACACAUCUGUAAAUGGUGUCUUCCUUGAAGAGCUGGAGCUGUAGAGGGAGUUCUGAUGGAACCAGGCAAGAGACUUCCUCAAGAUGUCCUGAUGUUGAAGAGUAACUUCUGUGACAAAGGAAGAAGCCACCUGGUUAGAAGAUGUGGAAUGGGCACCGUCCUUGAGGGAUCACCAGGAGACUUUCAUGAGGAAAGAGCAGUACCAAUUCAGAUUUCCCCUAAGUGCUGGGCAU
rnacentral:lncRNA from 1 species